AUUGAACGCUGGCGGCAGGCCUAACACAUGCAAGUCGAACGGUAACAGGAAACAGCUUGCUGUUUCGCUGACGAGUGGCGGACGGGUGAGUAAUGUCUGGGAAACUGCCUGAUGGAGGGGGAUAACUACUGGAAACGGUAGCUAAUACCGCAUAACGUCGCAAGACCAAAGAGGGGGACCUUCGGUCCUCUUGCCAUCGGAUGUGCCCAGAUGGGAUUAGCUUGUUGGUGGUGUAACGGCUCACCAAGGCGACGAUCCCUAGCUGGUCUGCGAGGAUGACCAGCCACACUGGAACUGAGACACGGUCCAGACUCCUACGGGAGGCAGCAGUGGGGAAUAUUGCACAAUGGGCGCAAGCCUGAUGCAGCCAUGCCGCGUGUAUGAAGAAGGCCUUCGGGUUGUAAAGUACUUUCAGCGGGGAGGAAGGGAGUAAAGUUAAUACCUUUACUCAUUGACGUUACCCGCAGAAGAAGCACCGGCUAACUCCGUGCCAGCCGCCGCCGUAA
rnacentral:rRNA from 1 species